rnacentral:rRNA from 1 species
UACGUAGGGGGCAAGCGUUGUCCGGAUUUAUUGGGCGUAAAGGGCGCGUAGGCGGAUAGUUUAGUCAGAGGUGAAAGCCCAGGGCUCAACCUUGGAAUUGCCUUUGAUACUGGCUAUCUUGAGUUCGGGAGAGGUGAGUGGAAUGCCGAGUGUAGAGGUGAAAUUCGUAGAUAUUCGGCGGAACACCAGUGGCGAAGGCGACUCACUGGCCCGAUACUGACGCUGAGGCGCGAAAGCGUGGGGAGCAAACAGG